CUAACCCAAGCCCAGAAGUCUACACAGCAAAGAAACAGCCCCACAGGCUGAGCCCCAUGAGCCUGUGUCAGCUGGCACGGGCCAGGCAUGGGUGUCUAGUUGCUAUUCAGUCAUACCCCUCAGAGGGUUGGAGUGGAUGCAUUUACUUUUAAAUCAGCUAGAUCUGCUCCAGUGGACCAAGGUUUUCUAAUUUUCCUCUUGACAAAAGAAACCAGGCGUGCAGCCUAGAAAUGCUACAACAGUCUCCUGUAGCCAGAUAUUUGAAACACCUAGCCAUCUGCUUUUAAUGAUGUUACUGAAAGACUACACUCAAAAUAAUAUGCCUGGCAUUUUUUAAGGACAACAGAACUUUGUAAUAAUAUAUUGACUCACAGAUUUUUAAGGCCAAAUUGGACCAUUGGAAUCACCUUGUCUGACCUCUUGCAUAAUACAUGCCAUGGAAUUUCACCAACUGAUUCCUGCAUCACUCCCAGUAAUUUCUGAUUGAACUAGUGCAUAAUUUUUAGAAAGAAUUGCCUGGGAUUAUUGCUGGAGAAAGAGUUGGCACCAGAGUAUGAAGAAUCAAAUGAAUUUGCUAAUCUCAGACCCAUGAAAGCUGCUGUCUUCAUGGAUACCAUCGAAGCACAGCAGAGGGAUGAAGAAUAAACCAGACCAACAGCCACCAGAUGGAAUUUUUCAAAUAGUUUCUAUUUCCUUCCUUUUCUUUGUCUUAAAUUUCCCUCUCAGUUUUUCUAUAUAUGCCCCAGAAUAAAUCGUUGCAGUGGUGGUAAACUA